rnacentral:rRNA from 1 species
UACGGAGGAUGCGAGCGUUAUCCGGAUUUAUUGGGUUUAAAGGGUGCGUAGGCGGCGAGUUAAGUCAGCGGUAAAAGCCCGGGGCUCAACCCCGGCCCGCCGUUGAAACUGGCUGGCUUGAGUUGGGGAAAGGCAGGCGGAAUGCGCGGUGUAGCGGUGAAAUGCAUAGAUAUCAUGAAGAACUCCGAUCGCGAAGGCAAGUGUCCGGGGUGCAACUGACGCUGAGGCUCGAAAGUGCGGGUAUCAAACAGG